CUAGUUCCUGGAAUAAUCGUUCCUUGCCGAUACUUCCAGGGUUGUAUUUAUUAUCUAAAUAAUUAUCAGGCAAAUGUUUUCAAAAGGAUUAAAAUACAAAAACUGGCUUUCUAUAAUCAUUAUAGCGGCUGAUUUUCACUCAUUUUCAUACGCAACCUCGAUAAAAAGGCAAAAGGCGGAACCGCGGAAUGGUCCCUCGUCCAACUGUUCGAUGUCCAACUCGCACUCGGAACUCCGGCCGGACCAUUUUUCAAUUCAAUCCACCCAGCCAGCCAAGCCAUGCCAUGCCGUGAAUUUCAAAAUGAAAACUUAAUUUGAUCUACUUUUCAUGAUUCUUAACGAAGAAUCGAUUGUAUUAUCGGCGUCUACUUGACUAUACUCAGUUUCAUCGAACACAGAUCGACACUUCCAGGAGCUUGCCUUAUCAGAUGUACAUUGCUGCUCAGUGCCAUUUGCUCUAUGCCUGUAGAUGUUUCCUGUCAUGUGUGGAAGGAACGUCGGGUAGAGAAUCGAUGGCUACCUUAAUAUCAUCAAUGAUCGUAGUAAAUCGUGAAAUUAUUUAAGCUGUGGAUCUAUGAUGUCGCAUCUUUUGAAAAAUGCUUUCUCCUCUAAAACUAAACUGAAAAAUCGUGUUGUGUCAGUGCUUUUCUGAGAGUGGUGUUCUGUAUUGAUCAGCUAUUAAAUCAUGGUGCUAAUUUUUCUCUUACGUUAAAGAGUGCUUUAGAUAUUUUUACAAUGCACUCAUCGUGUUUUCAAAAGUUCCUUCGUACCUGCACCAGUUCUAAUCGGAAAUUUGGAUUCAUUGUCUUCAAGUGGAUUUUUCUGACCCAGUGGAUUACAGACUUGAGCGAGUUGGUGAGUGUUGUUUGUUCAUUUUCUAUUUUAUUGAGUAUGUCUGCAUGACAGAUGUCAUCCAUUAUUACUUUGCAUGAUGCAUAUUUAGCUGAAAGAUUCUCUUUACACAUGCCUAGUGGAAGAUACAUGUGGGUUUGGAACUGCUAACAUGCGAACUUUGAAAAACUACGCUGCUAUGAUAUAGAAAAUCCUACAAGUCCAAGAAGGUCUAUGCGCUGAUAUCAAUUACAUACUGACAUAUACCCGUCAAACAAGUUCCCAUGGCUGUCAUAGAUGGCCUGCCCACAAAGUAUGUCUGAAAGGGUGGCCCUAAUUUUCAUCAGGGAGCUUUGAGUACACCAUGUACUUUUUAAGAUUAUUGUGCUUAUUAUUGCUUUCACUUGAGUGUAGAUGUAAGUACAUACUAAGCUUUUAUCCAUCAUACAUUUUGGCACAUUUCUUUAAUUAUUGAGCUUCAUAAAAUUUCAGGUACUUGAUUUUCAGGGGCUGAGAUCGAAAUCAUAUCAUUAAAAAAAAUUGGUUCCAGCAAUUCUUUUCAAAUUCUUUACAAAAAAAUUUAGAGGAUUUAAUAACUGAAGAUAAAAACAUAACAUGCUAAACACUACCUUCUGAUGAAAAAGUACUUAAGUGAUGACCAAAA